rnacentral:rRNA from 1 species
GCGGUAACACCAGCUCCUCGAGUGGUGGGGAUGAUUAUUUGGCCUAAAGCGUUCGUAGCCGGCUUUGUAAGUCUCUCGUUAAAUCCAGCGUCCUAAGCGCUGGGCUGCGAGGGAGACUGCAGAGCUAGAGGAUGGGAGAAGUCAGCGGUAUUUCUGGGGUAGGGGCGAAAUCCUUUGAUCCCAG